rnacentral:tRNA from 1 species
UUAGCUCAGUUGGUAGAGCGCCAGCAUGGCAUGCUGGAGGUCAGCGGUUCGAAUCCGCUA